rnacentral:rRNA from 1 species
AUGAAGAACGUAGCGAAAUGCGAUACUUGGUGUGAAUUGCAGAAUCCCGUGAACCAUCGAGUCUUUGAACGCAAGUUGCGCCCGAGGCCAUUAGGCUUAGGGCACGUCUGCCUGGGCGUCACGC